GACGAACGCUGGCGGCGUGCCUAAUACAUGCAAGUCGAACGCGGAAGUGAGGAGCUUGCUCUUCUUGGUUGAGUUGCGAACGGGUGAGUAACGCGUAGGUAACCUGCCUGGUAGCGGGGGGUAACUAUUGGAAACGAUAGCUAAUACCGCAUAAAAUUGAUUAUUUCAUGAUAAUUAAUUGAAAGAUGCAACUGCAUCACUACCAGAUGUACCUGCGUUGUAUUACCUAGUUGGUGAGAGAACGGCUCACCAAGGCCAGGAUACAUAGCAGACCUGCGAGGGUACGAGGCCAAACUGGGAGUGGGAGACGGCCCACACCCCUACGGGAGGGAGCAGGAGGGAAUCCUCGGCGAUGGGGGGAAUCCUGAACGAGCAACGCCGCGCGAGUGAAGAAGGGUGUCGGGUCGUAAGGCUCAGUUGUAAGAGAAGGAUGGGUGGGAGAGUGGAACGUUAACACUGUGACGGUACCUUACCAGAAAGAGCCGGCUAACUCCGUG
rnacentral:rRNA from 1 species